rnacentral:rRNA from 1 species
UCUCCUACGGGGCGCAGCAGUGAGGAAUAUUGGUCAAUGGUCGGGAGACUGAACCAGCCAAGCCGCGUGAGGGAUGAAGGUACAGAGUAUCGUAAACCUCUUUUGUCAGGGAACAAAGGCGGGGACGUGUCCCCGGAUGAGUGUACCUGAAGAAAAAGCCCCGGCUAACUACGUGCCAGCAGCCGCGGUAAUACGUAGGGGGCAAGCGUUAUCCGGAUUCACUGGGCGUAAAGGGAGCGCAGGCGGCACGGCAAGUCUGGGGUGAAAACCCGGGGCUCAACCCCGGGACUGCAUUGGAAACUGCC